CAGAAGACAGCGAAAGCAGCAAGAACAAAACAGGUAGGGGGAGCAAGCCUCCUGUCUUCCUCCCGUCUGUUGUGAGCUACCACCCCACAGGGCAGGUGUAGCGUUCACACUGUCUCCCUGCCCUCCUCUUGCACAAGAUGAGGAUGUUUAUAAAGCGAGGAUCCCGGCCCCAUGAUGAGUCACUUAGUUAAACUUCUGAACUUUCAAGUUGCCACAGUGUAUCAACCAUUAUACACCUCAAAGUUCUGCCCUGGAGCCAGCUAACUGUGGACUCAAAUCUCCCCAAACUGUGAGCCAAACUAAACCUCUCUUCCCUUAAAUUGUGGGUGUUGGGUGUUGGUGCUGGCAACUAGGAAAGUGACUCAGACAGUUGCUGAGUAUCUGGUGGUGUCUGGUGGCACGGUAGGAGGAUGCAGGGCUCUCCUGCCCCUCACCCUUACAGAUAGAGGCCCUGGUUACCUUGGGAAAUGGUGGAGAGGACAGGGUGAAGACCUGGCUUUUCUUCUGGGCUGCACACAAUGUAGACUGAGUCCUACAUUGAAAAUACUUUACUGUCCUUCAUUUAGACCAGAGAGGGAUUUUGCUGGACUGCUGUUUUUCCAUGCCAUUUUUAAACUGCAGGUGUGAUACUCAAAGAGUUGGGCCAGGUGCAGCCAAUGCAGAGAUGCCAUCCACCCUUUCUGGAAAGUUCACUGCCUGAGUAUCUGCUAAACAGUGACCUUUCACAGUUCAAUAUAUUUGUUUAAUAUAAAAGGAGUAUUCAGCAAAAGAAUAAUAGUCAAUGAUAAUGCUUCUUCAAAAGAGGAUCAGUGUCCUGUCUUUCCCCUAAGUGUGGGCAUCUUGGUCAACUCUUCCAAACCCCUUUCUGAAACUCAAAGCUGCUCAGCUGCUUGUUGUUUUUUAUCCAACCACGGGAGUCACCUCGAUCCAGACUGUCUGGCAGAGAAGACAAAGUACUAUUUCCCCAUCUUGAGAUCUCUUCUUGGGUCUGAGAGUGGCCACGACACAGUGAUUAGCAGGAGAAAGGCACAGGCUUCACACGCAGGUUAGAGCCCUGUUGGAACAUGUGGACCUGGAGCUCACAAAACCUGAACACAUCCCUCUACCCUGGAUCAGCGAAUGGCGCUGACUCAUGGGCAGAGGCUGGGUCCUGCCUGUUCCAGUCUGGCAGGGGUGCAUGCACCACGCUGCUUCAGCGAGCAAGCUAACCCAGUCUGGGCAGCAACGACCCGCACACACCCCUGCCGCACUGGAAGAGCCAGGCCCCAGCAUCUUGCAGGGCUCGGGCUAGCAAACAGGAAGUAGCACCCCACACACUCCCCAGCACCUCCACCUCGCCAUAGGAGACCAUCUUAUCAGGAGAAACACAGGCUGUGAUGAUAACUAUGAAGGUAAGAUGCAACUGGAUGUCUGUGGUGCUUUGGCGUUUCACUAACACUGCAGGUCUAGGGCCAGUGGUCUGACCAUGGGUUCAGAGGCUAGUGGUAUGCAGUGUGGCAUCUAGGGCGAUCUCCUGCUGAGGGCUGCAGCCGUUAGUGAUUCCCUAUGGUCUUGUUUUAGGAAUCCUAGAUCAUUUGCAUUGUUUUGCUGGGUUGGGUUUUAUUCUCUUUUGUUUUGCUUAUGUUAAAUCUGAUGGCAGGAGCAGCUAUUUCAAUGAUAGCAAGAUAUAUUAUGGUAGCAAUUUUGGAUUUACUAUUGGCUUGUUUUGAAGUCCUUUAUUACAUUCUUUGUUUUGUUUUUAUUUUUUUCUAUUCUAUUCGGUUUUGUUUCAUUUUUAUCAUGUCCAAAGUUAUCUGCAGCUGUCUUGAAGACAUCAAAAGGCAUUAUGGUAAUUAUUGUUGAUUUGGUAAUGUUUUUAGGCCUGUAUUUCUUACACUGGUUUGUUUUGAUUGGUUUUAUUCUGUUUUACCCUCUUUAAAAUUAAAACCAGAAUACAUCCUUCAGAGCCCAGCAGCCGGGUGGAGAGCAGCACAGAGCCAGAUACCUGGGGCGCUGAGCGGAUGACCCCCAUCCUGACAUGGUCAGUGUGUCUUUUGCACCGACUGUUUCCAAGGACCUUCAGUUCAAAAUAAUCCUCAAGCCCAAAGGCCACAUUUCAGGGUGACAUAUUUUGGGAAGCCUUUUAUUUUCUUAUUUGGUGUUUAGUUUUAAGGGAAAAAAUAUUUUGGAGGGCAAGAUGGGCACAGAAGCCUCAAGAAUCAAACACUUCUACUGUGGUGUCAAAGGGAGCGCCCCAUUCCUGUGCCCUUCUCCAGACCUGUUUGGAGGCUCCAUGACUCUCUGGUCCAUCCCUGAGCUGCUUACCAGAGAAAGGGGUUGGGGCUGUUGGGACUGGCGGAUGGGGCAGUCCCAGUUUGUCCGUGGGCUGGACAGCCCAGAUUCCUUGCAGAGAAGUGGAUACAGCUUAGUGGCCUACCAAGGGCAAGCAAGGCUGUGAGGUGGACAAGCUAGAGUAUCUUCAGAAGCAACUUUUUUGGGCAGAUUAGUGAUGCAUUUUGGCAAAAUUUAUUUUUCUUCUUACAGUAAAAAAAUCUCACAACCCAGUAUUCUUAUUUUUCUUUACUAGCUUGCUCACAGACUCGUUGUUCAUAGAUACAGUAAACAUUUUUGCUUUUGUUUUCAUGAGUCAGGAUCUCGCUAUGGCAAUCCUCUUGCCUCAGCCUCCUGAGUCCUGGGAUUACGGGAAUGUGCUGCCACACCCAACAAAACACUGUAAAAGUGAGUGAGUGUAUAGAAUUGGCUUUAUUGUUGUAACAUUUUAUUAAGGUGGAUGUGGUUUUAGAAUUAUUACUUAAAAUUUCAGCACCUACAAACCAAGGAGGGUAAAGGAAAGUUUACAGAGUGUACUUCUCUGCUUCAAAUUGUGCUAUCUGCAGCAUCCAAAGCCCUGUUUCUUUAGGUGUGUCCUAUAAAGUGGGUGAAUUGUGUGUGAUGAAAAGGAUUCCAAAAAUGAAAAGGCCGUGUUACAGGCCAUAGAGGAUCCUCUAAAAUUCCGGCGUGAAGCACUGGAUGAAGGCGCCUCUCACAAGUAUUUAAGAUUUGGCGUCCUGUAGAAAAGGUGGGGGUGCUUGCAGUGACUUCAGGGUGGAUGCAGGAAGAAGGUGCUGUCUACCAGCCCAAGGCAGAGGCCAGAGAAGCCACCAUAUCUGCUGGCACCUUGGUCUUGGACUUCUGCUCUCCAGAGCAGAGAGAAUCAAGUUCUGCGAAGUCUGCCAUGCAGUGGCACUUCUCUCUGGUGCCCUGGCAAGCUGACAAGGGAGUAACAGGUGCCUUUUUUUCAGAGAUCCCUAGGGAAGUCAGGGAUGUGAGGAGUCCUUCGUGCUCUCUGCAAAGAACCCAGGCUGUCCAGCCCAUGACAAACUGUGAUUGCCAGUCCUAAGCGAAGAAGUACAAAACUGUAAACUCACUGGAGGUAGGGCGGGUCUCUUUGCAAAAAUCAAGAAACUGGGUCUUAAAGAAGAUAAAGAACUUCUGUGUGGAAGAACUGGGAAUCAACUCAGUCUGAAUAUUUAUAAAAUUUUAGUAAACAUGAAUCUCACUGAAUUUUCUUCCUGUUUGCCAGGCACUGCAUGCUAAAUGCCUGACAUGAAUCAGCUUCUUUAUCCUCAGAAUGACAUUCGGACAUGUGUACUAUUAUUUUUCUCUGGAUGGCAGUAAAAGUUCCCAGAUUUGAAGUCAAUUCCCCAAGAUCACACAGGCGCCAAGGGAUGGAGUUGCAGUCGAAGCCCAGAUAAUCGGACUCUGGAGAAUACUGUAUUAUCCAUCAUAGUGCACGGCGACCCGUUGAAGGAUGAGGCGGUCAUGUCACUUUUGGGUCCACAUCAUCCCGAGGCUGCUUCCAGCCUCACUGGAACAGUGGUCACAGCUGAGGACAGUGGAGUGUGCGGGAAGACGCGAAUCUAGGAAAGAAAUUAGAUGGCACCUCUUCAGAACUUGUGCAAGAUGUCAGGAGCUCUCAGGACCCUCACAGGCUGCUUUCUGCCCUGGUCUGCCGUCGCCUUUCUUCCUGGGACACCAGCAGAACCUUGAGAGACCUGUGUGGCCCCAUGUGCUGUGUGCUGACCCCUGGUGAGCUCCAGAGGAGGAGGAAAGGAAAAGGGGAUCAAAGUCACUCAAUUGACCCCUCCAACAGGCUUAGGAGGGUGACACAGAGCACCAGUUUCCUGGGUGAAUUCAGCUUCAAAUGAUUUACUGAAAAUCACAUUCCUUGGAUGUAAGUUCUUAUGAGAGAGUGCAUAGGCAGGACUUUAAUUUUUUUAAACAGUCCAGAGGCAAAGAGAAAGGAUUUCAUCAAACCCAUGGCUGGACAAAGAGGAAAGGAAAAUUAAAACAUUUAAUAGUACUGACUCCUCCUGGUAAAGAUGGUGGAUAGAUAACAGCAGGCUACAGAGGCUCCCUGAGAUAGUCAACUUAGAAUUCAUCCUGGUUUGAUUACUACCUGUUUUUGUGGUUCUAUACUACCUACAAAGUUGUAUUUCUAUUGAUAGUUUUAUGUACUGAUAUAUGCAAUUAUACUUUAUCCGAUGAUAUAGCCAAUUCUAUUGAUGAUAACAAGAUACAACUCAGUAAUCAUGGUAGAACUCCUUAUACAGCAGUCUUAUAUGUCUUUUUAGUUUUAAGUGUCUAUAGGAAUAUGUUUUGUAUUAUCCUGCUUUGUUCUGUUUCUCCCUCUAAUAUAAAAAGGAUAGAAAUACAUGUUAAGACUUAUACUUGCGUAAAACCUAUAAACAGUUUACGAGAACUGAUCUUAUGACACAUGAUGAAAUGAACAAAUACAUUGAAGGAAAAAAAGGCACUACAGAACCCAAAGCUGAUUCCGAGUGUCAUGAUGUGAAAUCCAGCAAUACUACUAUUCUUUGUUCAGAGUGAUUUUAGUCUGCUUUGGUUUGUUUAAUCUCAACAUUAAUGAAGAUACGGAUAAAUGUAUGUUUAAAUGUACAGGAUUGAUACCCAUAUUACUAAGAUUUUAUUAAAUAGUUGAACAGAACUAUUUGCAGUCUUCUUGUUUGAAUUUCCAUCUCUAUGUUCCACUUUUGUAUCUUGAACAAUUAUUUGUAAGAGGACAAUAUGUAAACAUCAGCUAGUGAUUUAUUACUGUUUAUUUCUUUUUCUUUGAAAGUAUGUACUAUUUCUACCCGUUUUCUGUUUUGUAUUGUCUUUCUUUAAAUAAAAUUUUUAAAAAAUGUUCCUUGAUUAAAAAAAAAAAAUUAGUACUGACUCCUCACUUUUCCCGAAAUCUGCAAGCAGUUUCUCUCUGACAAUGACUCCUUUCUCCUCCUUUACUUCCCAAAAGCCUGAAGCACAAAGCAUGGGACUUUCAGGACAGUGCUGUUUGAUGCCUGUUGGUUUCCCUCCUUUCUCUGCCUGCCUCUGCCCCCUGGGGAGCCCCUUCAUGGGGUGUUGAGAGGCUGGGAGGGGCGGCAAGUCCAGGGUGGUCUCCUGCGUUGUCCCGAUUCCCAGCUGGAAGCCAGAGCGGGCUGCCUAGGUGUCCUGCAGCUCUGGGAGCCCCUUCAAUGCUGCGGUUGGAUUGGGUGACACUGAUAGGCCAGGAUGGAUAAAUUCCUGGCUUGUGCCACACUGACUGUGAUGCUGGCUGGCAGGAGAAGCAGCAGGACCGGCUGGUCCUGUCUUGAGGUGACCUUGUGGCAUGUCUGAGAGUAAAGCCAGGCACUGACGUCACGCCCAGUGCUAAGGGGUCCAUGCUAAGGGCAGUCCACGUGGCACAGUGUCCUCUUUGCACAGUGUUUUCCUCUCACUCUGAGUUCUGUGUGGCGAGCACAGUUCCCCGAGCCUGCUCCUAUGUUUUCCUCUGUGACUUCUGGUUAGAAUUGUUGCUUUUCUCCUCCCCGAGAAUGCAGAUUUCCCUGUCAGGUCAUACUCGCCCUUCUCUCUUGUGUUUCUGUUAAUCAUCACACAUUAAUGACUUUGUUCUUAGUUUUCUGGUCUUAGGAAUGCAAAUUCAUCUGAUUUUUCUGUAUUUUAGCACACUCACUGUUACGUAUAUGAAAUACUUUACAAACUGAUAAUACCUGGACUCAGGCAAAUGUAAUGAAUAGUAAUA